rnacentral:rRNA from 1 species
UUAAACUGAAGAGUUUGAUCCUGGCUCAGAUUGAACGCUGGCGGCAUGCCUUACACAUGCAAGUCGAACGGCAGCACGGAGCUUGCUCUGGUGGCGAGUGGCGAACGGGUGAGUAAUAUAUCGGAACGUACCCUAGAGUGGGGGAUAACGUAGCGAAAGUUACGCUAAUACCGCAUACGAUCUAAGGAUGAAAGUGGGGGAUCGCAAGACCUCAUGCUCGUGGAGCGGCCGAUAUCUGAUUAGCUAGUUGGUAGGGUAAAAGCCUACCAAGGCAUCGAUCAGUAGCUGGUCUGAGAGGACGACCAGCCACACUGGAACUGAGACACGGUCCAGACUCCUACGGGAGGCAGCAGUGGGGAAUUUUGGACAAUGGGCGAAAGCCUGAUCCAGCAAUGCCGCGUGAGUGAAGAAGGCCUUCGGGUUGUAAAGCUCUUUUGUCAGGGAAGAAACGGUGAGAGCUAAUAUCUUUUGCUAAUGACGGUACCUGAAGAAUAAGCACCGGCUAACUACGUGCCAGCAGCCGCGGUAAUACGUAGGGUGCAAGCGUUAAUCGGAAUUACUGGGCGUAAAGCGUGCGCAGGCGGUUUUGUAAGUCUGAUGUGAAAUCCCCGGGCUCAACCUGGGAAUUGCAUUGGAGACUGCAAGGCUAGAAUCUGGCAGAGGGGGGUAGAAUUCCACGUGUAGCAGUGAAAUGCGUAGAUAUGUGGAGGAACACCGAUGGCGAAGGCAGCCCCCUGGGUUAAGAUUGACGCUCAUGCACGAAAGCGUGGGGAGCAAACAGGAUUAGAUACCCUGGUAGUCCACGCCCUAAACGAUGUCUACUAGUUGUCGGGUCUUAAUUGACUUGGUAACGCAGCUAACGCGUGAAGUAGACCGCCUGGGGAGUACGGUCGCAAGAUUAAAACUCAAAGGAAUUGACGGGGACCCGCACAAGCGGUGGAUGAUGUGGAUUAAUUCGAUGCAACGCGAAAAACCUUACCUACCCUUGACAUGGCUGGAAUCCUUGAGAGAUCAGGGAGUGCUCGAAAGAGAGCCAGUACACAGGUGCUGCAUGGCUGUCGUCAGCUCGUGUCGUGAGAUGUUGGGUUAAGUCCCGCAACGAGCGCAACCCUUGUCAUUAGUUGCUACGAAAGGGCACUCUAAUGAGACUGCCGGUGACAAACCGGAGGAAGGUGGGGAUGACGUCAAGUCCUCAUGGCCCUUAUGGGUAGGGCUUCACACGUCAUACAAUGGUACAUACAGAGCGCCGCCAACCCGCGAGGGGGAGCUAAUCGCAGAAAGUGUAUCGUAGUCCGGAUUGUAGUCUGCAACUCGACUGCAUGAAGUUGGAAUCGCUAGUAAUCGCGGAUCAGCAUGUCGCGGUGAAUACGUUCCCGGGUCUUGUACACACCGCCCGUCACACCAUGGGAGCGGGUUUUACCAGAAGUAGGUAGCUUAACCGCAAGGAGGGCGCUUACCACGGUAGGAUUCGUGACUGGGGUGAAGUCGUAACAAGGUAGCCGUAUCGGAAGGUGCGGCUGGAUCACCUCCUUUCU